UGGCGGAUGCCUAGGCUCUCAGAGGCGAAGAAGGACGUGAUAAGCUGCGAAAAGCUUUGGGGAGGCGCACAUAGCUAUUGAUCCAAAGAUGUCCGAAUGGGGCAACCCAUCAUGCUGAAGGCAUGAUAUCCCGCAAGGGAGGCAAACCCGGAGAACUGAAACAUCUAAGUACCCGGAGGAGAAGAAAACAAAAGUGAUUCCGCUAGUAGUGGCGAGCGAACGCGG
rnacentral:rRNA from 1 species